rnacentral:rRNA from 1 species
CCUACGGGUGGCAGCAGUGAGGAAUAUUGGUCAAUGGGCGAGAGCCUGAACCAGCCAAGUCGCGUGAGGGAGUACUGCCCUAUGGGUUGUAACCCUCUUUUGUCGGGGAGCAAAAGCCGGACGUGUCCGGCUGUGAGAGUACCCGAAGAAAAAGCAUCGGCUAACUCCGUGCCAGCAGCCGCGGUAAUACGGAGGAUGCGAGCGUUAUCCGGAUUUAUUGGGUUUAAAGGGUGCGCAGGCGGAUUUUUAAGUCAGCGGUAAAAUCGUGGGGCUCAACCCCAUCCAGCCGUUGAAACUGGGGAUCUAGAGUGUGCGAGAGGUAUGCGGAAUGCGUGGUGUAGCGGUGAAAUGCAUAGAUAUCACGCAGAACCCCGAUUGCGAAGGCAGCAUACCGGUGCACAACUGACGCUCAGGCACGAAAGCGUGGGUAUCGAACAGGAUUAGAUACCCUUGUAGUC